CAUUAAGAAGCUUUGGAUAGCAUUAGCCUUUUAAGCUAAAGAAGGGGACAUGAACCCCCUUAAUGA
rnacentral:tRNA from 1 species